GAUGAACGCUGGCGGUGUGCCUAAUACAUGCAAGUCGAGCGAACAGACGAUGAGCUUUCGCUUCUAACGGUAGCGGCUGACGGGUGAGUAACACGUGGAUCACCUUCCUAUAAGUCUGGGAUGAUUACGGGAAACCGGAUCUGAUACUGGAUAAUAUAUUGAACGGCAUGGUUCAGUAGUUAAUGACGGUUUUGCUGACACUUAGAGAUGGAUCCGCGCCGGAUUAGCUAGUUGGUAAGGUAACGGCUCACCAAGGCGACGAUGCGUAGCCGAUCUGAGAGGAUGAUCAGCCACACUGGAACUGAGACACGGUCCAGACUCCUACGGGAGGCAGCAGUAGGGAAUAUUCGACAAUGGGCGCAAGCCUGAUCGAGCCACACCGCGUGAGUGAAGAAGGUCUUCGGAUCGUAAAACUCUGUUAUUAGGGAAGAAAAACUGCAUAUGAAUCCCCCCCCGUUCUGACGGUACCCAAACAGAAAGCACCGGCUAACUUCGUG
rnacentral:rRNA from 1 species